rnacentral:rRNA from 1 species
AUUGAACGCUGGCGGCAGGCUUAACACAUGCAAGUCGAGCGGAGCGAGGGUGCUUGCACCUUAGCUUAGCGGCGGACGGGUGAGUAAUGCUUAGGAAUCUGCCUAUUAGUGGGGGACAACAUUCCGAAAGGAAUGCUAAUACCGCAUACGCCCUACGGGGGAAAGCAGGGGAUCUUCGGACCUUGCGCUAAUAGAUGAGCCUAAGUCGGAUUAGCUAGUUGGUGGGGUAAAGGCCUACCAAGGCGACGAUCUGUAGCGGGUCUGAGGGGAUGCGCCGCCACACUGGGACGGAGACACGGCCCAGACUCCUACGGGAGGCAGCAGUGGGGAAUAUUGGACAAUGGGCGGAAGCCUGAUCCAGCCAUGCCGCGUGUGUGAAGAAGGCCUUUUGGUUGUAAAGCACUUUAAGCGAGGAGGAGGCUACUUAGAUUAAUACUCUGGGAUAGUGGACGUUACUCGCAGAAUAAGCACCGGCUAACUCUGUGCCAGCCGCCGCAGUAAAAC